UCCCCGAUGGUCUAGUGGUUAUGAUUUCCGCUUGUCAAUUCCGAGUGAUCGGUGUCAAGCGCGGGAGACCGGGGUUCGAUUCCCCGUCGAGGAG